GCCUCUGUGGCGGAAUUGGUAGACGCGACAGACUCAAAAUCUGUUGUCCUUCGGGGCAUGCCCGUUCGAGUCGGGCCAGAGGCACCA
rnacentral:tRNA from 1 species